CAACUUUCAACAAUGGAUCUCUUGGCUCUCGCAUCGAUGAAGAACGCAGCGAAAUGCGAUAAGUAAUGUGAAUUGCAGAAUUCAGUGAAUCAUCGAAUCUUUGAACGCAUCUUGCACUCCUUGGUAUUCCGAGGAGCAUGCCUGUUUGAGUGUCAUU
rnacentral:rRNA from 1 species